rnacentral:rRNA from 1 species
CCUACGGGGGGCAGCAGUGAGGAAUAUUGGUCAAUGGCCGUAAGGCUGAACCAGCCAAGUCGCGUGAAGGAAGAAGGAUCUAUGGUUUGUAAACUUCUUUUAUAGGGGAAUAAAGGUAUCCACGUGUGGAUAUUUGCAUGUACCCUAUGAAUCAGCAUCGGCUAACUCCGUGCCAGCAGCCGCGGUACUACGGAGGAUGCGAGCGUUAUCCGGAUUUAUUGGGUUUAACGGGAGCGUAGGUUGUUUUUUAAGUCAGCGGUGAAAGUUUGUGGCUCAACCAUAAAAUUGCCGUUGAAACUGGAAGACUUGAGUGUGUUUGAGGUAGGCGGAAUGCGAGGUGUAGCGGUGAAAUGCAUAGAUAUCACGCAGAACUCCGAUUGCGAAGGCAGCUUACUAAGCCAUAACUGACACUGAGGCACGAAAGCGUGGGGAGCAAACAGGAUUAGAUACCCUAGUAGUC